AGUGAACAAAGGAAGGCAGAGGUGAGUAGCCCCCUCCCAUCAGGCUCUGCCUCCUCAGCGGCCUCAGUUGCCAGCAGAAGCUUCCCAGUUCCAACCCAGGGAUGCACCCAUGUCUGUCCCAGAGCCCCCAGAGACCCAGGGAAGAAGUCAGCUGAUGGUCCCUCCACUCCUUCAGAGAACAUUUAUAUUUCAUAAACCACAGUGAGGCAUCCCUACACACCCAUCAAAACGGCUAACACUGAAACAACAGGUAAUUCCAAGUGUUGGAGAGGAUGCAGAGCGACUGGCACUCUGUUACCUUGCUGGCAUGUACGUGGGUGAAACUUUCUCAGCCUCUACUACAACUAAACAUAUGCCAGCCUGUGAUGUGACAAUUCCACAUUUAGAUCAUUUACUCAAGAGAAGCAAGUGCAUACAUGUACCAAAAUCACAUGCAAGAAUGUUCCUAGAGCUCCCUCUCCCUCACCCUCUCCCCAUGGUCUCCCUCUCCCUCUCUUUCCACGGUCUCCCUCUGAUGCCGAGCCGAAGCUGGACGGUACUGCUGCCAUCUCGGCUCACUGCAACCUCCCUGCCUGAUUCUCCUGCCUCAGCUUGCCGAGUGCCUGCGAUUGCAGGCGCGCGCCGCCACGCCUGACUGGUUUUCGUAUUUUGUUAGUGGAGACGGGGUUUCGCUGUGUUGGCCGGGCUGGUCUCCAGCUCCUAACCGCGAGUGAUCCACCAGCCUCGGCCUCCCGAGGUGCUGGGAUUGCAGACGGAGUCUCGUUCACUCAGUGCUCAAUGAUGCCCAGGCUGGAGUGCAGUGGCGUGAUCUUGGCUCGCUACAACCUCCACCUCCCAGCAGCCUGCCUUGGCCUCCCAAAGUGCCGAGAUUGCAGCCUCUGCCCGGCCGCCACCCCGUCUGGGAAGUGAGGAGCGUCUCCGCCUGGCCACCCAUCGUCUGGGAUGUGAGGAGCCCCUCUGCCUGGCUGCCCAGUCUGGAAAGUGAGGAGCGUCUCUGCCCGGCCGCCAUCCCAUCUAGGAAGUGAGGAGCGCCUCUUCCCGGCCGCCAUCACAUCUGGGAAGUGAGGAGCGUCUCUGCCCUGCCGCCCAUCGUCUGAGAUGUGGGGAGCACCUCUGCCCGGCCGCCCCAUCCGGGAUGUGAGGAGCGUCUCUGCCCGGCCGCCCCGUCUGAGAAGUGAGGAGACCCUCUGCCUGGCAACCGCUCCAUCUGAGAAGUGAGGAGCCCCUCCGCCCGGCAGCCGCCCUGUCUGAGAAGUGAGGAGCCCCUCCGCCCAGCAGCCACCUGGUCCGGGAGGGAGGUGGGGGGGUCAGCCCCCCGCCCGGCCAGCCGCCCCGUCCGGGAGGGAGGUGGGGGGGUCAGCCCCCCGCCCGGCCAGCCGCCCUGUCCGGGAGGUGAGGGGCGCCUCUGCCCGGCCGCGCCUACUGGAAAGUGAGGAGCCCCUCUGCCCGGCCACCACCCCGUCUGGGAGGUGUACCCAACAGCUCAUUGAGAAGGGGCCAUGAUGACAAUGACGGUUUUGUGGAAUAGAAAGGGGGGAAAGGUGGGGAAAAGAUUGAGAAAUCGGAUGGUUGCCGUGUCUGUGUAGAAAGAGGUAGACCUGGGAGACUUUUCAUUUUGUUCUGUACUAAGAAAAAUUCUUCUGCCUUGGGAUCCUGUUGAUCGGUGACCUUACCCCCAACCCUGUGCUCUCUGAAACAUGUGCUGUAUCCACUCAGGGUUGAAUGGAUUAAGAGCGGUGCAAGAUGUGCUUUGUUAAACAGAUGCUUGAAGGCAGCAUGCUCCUUAAGAGUCAUCACCACUCCCUAAUCUCAAGUACCCAGGGACACAAACACUGCGGAAGGCCGCAGGGUCCUCUGCCUAGGAAAACCAGAGACCUUUGUUCACUUGUUUAUCUGCUGACCUUCCCUCCACUAUUGUCCUGUGACCCUGCCAAAUCCCCCUCUGUGAGAAACACCCAAGAAUGAUCAAUUAAAAAAAAAAAAAAAAAAAGAAUGUUCCUAGAGCUUUACUCCUAAUGGCCCCAAACUGGAAAUAAUCCAAAUGUCCAUCAGGAGGGGAAUGGAUAAAUUGUAAUAUACCCAUAUAAUGGAAUACUACACAGCAAUAAAAAAGAACAAAGUACUGAUACACACAACAGCAUGGAUAAAUCUCACAGGCAGAAUAUAGAACAAAGGAUGCCAGAAGCAACAGACCACAUCCCGCAUGAUUCCAUUUACAGGAAAUGUAAGCACAAGGUACCUAGUCCAUGGAGACAGAGGUCAGAAGAGCAGUUACCUUGUGGGAGGGGACAAGAGGGAACCUCAUUCUGUCUUGGGUGGUGAUUAGAUGAGUGGAUGCAUUGUAACAAAUCAUUGAGCUGAAUAGUUAAGAUUUGUACAUUUUACAAUAGGUAAAUUAUGCCUCAAUUUUAAAAUAAGUUAGAGUCACGUCUAAUAAUUCAAGCAUUACUUAUCACAGUCUUACCAGGCAUCUACUUCACCCUCCUACAGAAUAAAUGGCCAUUUGCCAAAACCCAAGGGCAUGAGUGGGGAUCCAUGGUCUGGGCCACUAGGUGAAGGUGGUCCUGCCAUCUUGUGGACUCCGUGUCUUCUGUAUGAUGUGCUAAGAACCAUGAUCCAAGAAGCUCCCAAACCCACAGGCAAAUGCAGCUCCAGGGAAUCCUAGGAGCCCUACUUCUGCCAAGCAGAGCCCCUCACCAUUCACAGGGGCAGCAAUAACUAUGACAAAAGUGCUUAUGGCCAGGUGUGGUGGCACAUGCCUGCAUUCCCAGCUACUGAGGAGGCUGAGGUAGGAAGAUCACUUGAGCUCAGGAGUUUGAAGCCAGCCUUGGCAACACAGCGAGAUCCUGUCUCUUAAAGAAACAAAAACAAGGCCGGAUGCCGUGGCUCACGCCUG
rnacentral:lncRNA from 1 species